GGCUGUGCUAAUAUUCCUGGCUUGCCUGGCUGCUUUGUCUGUCAGCCUCCUUGUUCCUUCCUUGCCUUUCCUGCAUCCCUAGACCCUACUGCCUUGAUAUGGCUCCUCCUGGCUUUGACCCCUGGACUGUCUGACCAUGAUUUGCAUCAUUCUUCUAUCCAGGUGCUGUUUGGAUUCAAACCCCCAGCUGGUUGGUUUCUGCUUGAGCUGUGGGGUUGGUUCUACCUUGUUCCUGUGAUCUUGCUCUGGACUGGGUCCUGGUGCCUCUUCUACUGAACCUUGACAGCCUUACUUUUAAAAAUAAGUUCCUUAUAAUCUUGCACUCCUAAAUAGUUAUUCAUUUAUGGAUCCAAGGUCAUCUUCUGUUACUACUUUCAAAUUGUGGCAUAUGCAAUCUAAAUGGAAGGAGGUGAAAAUAUGGCAUUCUGCAUGCAUGUGGUUGCCAGGUUUAAGGGCACCAAUUCAAGUCUCAAAGAACUGCUGUGCUUGGGUCUUUAGGCCAGAAGACAGACAUGUCUCCAGCGUUAACACUCCAGAGAUGGAAGUCAUGAUGUGAGAAGUCCAAGGAGACAGUUGGUGUGCACGAAUCUUCAGAGUCAUGGCUUCUUGAAUAAGCACCGGCAACAGCAAAACAGGGCCGAGAAAAAAAAAAAUAUGUGGCCUCAUGGUGAGCGUUCCCCAAGUCCACACAUUGGUGUCGGGCUUGGAAAAAAUCCCCAUGAUUCACGUGUUCUGUAUGUAGGUAAGGCUGUACAAAUAUGUCAGCCCAAAUAGGAAUGCCAGAAACUGUCACAGCUGUUGGAUACCGUUUCACAUCUGCAGAAGAAACCAGUUUGUUUGUUUGUUCCUGGAGCUGAGGUCUAAAGCCAUUUUUUGUUCCUGGAUACCUGUCAUGCCCAUCUCCACAAUCAGCUUGCCAGAAUUAGUUUUGGCCUGACCGUUUCCUGACCCACCCCUCUGACAUCAGACGGGCUUGCCUUCUGGUCUCAAGUUUUUGCCCCUGAAUCUCAGAGAAUGGAAUGCUGAUGAUCUGCCAAUUCUAGGCAGGAAAUAUCAAAAUGUUACAAGAUUCGUUCAUUCAUUUCUAAUUCCCCAAUUAUGUUAGUUAUAAGCAUAAUCGGAGAAUUAGAACUCUUGUUUGAUAGA